AUGGGGCGGAUGGACGCUGCGGGCAUGGAGUUUCUGCUUGAUGCGGUCGACAGGUUCCCCGUACGAGAGGAGUUCGCUGACAGCCUUGAACAGCCAAAUUCGGCUCCUCUCCUUUUCCUGAUGCAGAACGGGACUGAGAAUCUGGGGGCUGGUGAUUCAAAUGCUGGGUCUGGGUUGGCUCAAAAUGUCGGCGAAGAUGGGAGGGCUGCAGCGCAAGAUGGUGCCCGGCGUCGGCGUGAUUCAUCUCCGACGAGGUCUGCUCAGUCUAUGGACAGAGUGAAUCCAGAGGCCCUUGGCUGGACGAAAAGGCUUCGGCUGGGAAGUGCGCCACCAGACCGGGCACCUGGCCCUUCCAGGAUGAGUGCUCUCGAGCUGUCAACUCGCAAGUAUGCAGAACAACCUGACAAGGGCCUAGUCCGGCCUGAGCUAGGUCUCAGUUUGGAUUCAUUGGGUGAGGCGUAUGCAUGA
rnacentral:rRNA from 1 species